ACCAUUACGUCGAUAGACGCACUUGAUGCAGUGCCUACACAGAUAGUCUUGUUUAUAUUUAAAGAUGACUUAAAUAAAAGCCCUUAGCUUUGAUUUAAGAUCAAACCUAAGUGUUUUGAAUUAAGCACUAUGUUCUUUAACAAUUUGGAAAGCUGAUAUUAAUAGUAAUCAAUCAAAAUUGAGUACUGAGAAGUCGAAAGACGUACUUUUUACUCUACUUGACUUGAAUGCUUGUUAUCAACAUUGAUUGAUAGCAAGGCAAUUCUUCCGAUUAGCUUGUCAUGCAUACAACAUUACCCUUGUCCGAUUUCAAAAGGCGGACAUGAGGCCGAUACUCAAGGCUUUUUAGGGUUGUAU
rnacentral:misc_RNA from 1 species